UUUUUUUGUUUUUGUUUUUUUUAAUACUUUUGGGGUUUUUUUAACUUUACUUUUAAUCCAGUAUUUUUGUUUUGUUUUGGGUUUCAGAUUUUGGUUUUCUGGCCCUGCCAGCAGCAUACAGGAGUCCCCAGGCUGGAGGUCAUACCUGAACUACGGCAGUGGCAAUAUCAGAUCCUUGGCCCACUGAGCCACCAGGGAACUCCACAAAAUCUUUUAAGCUACUCUACUAUUUCAAGACCUACUUAUCACAAAACUUUAACUGGCACGUCAUCACUGGAUUAUGUGAUGAUUAUUAAUAUUACAAUGGUGUGUGUGCUGUGUUUUCCUGCACACUUGCCUGGUUUUCCUUCAUGAUGGGUUAAACAGGUUUCUGACCAUCACUUAUGGAGCCCAAGGAGUUUGUAACAAUGUGUGUCUGGGGAAAAAUAAAACUGAAGUUCCAAUGUGAAUCCCGAACAGAGCAACAGGAAUUGCCUUUUCAGGUCAUCUGGGGAUCAGAAAUGGGCCCCAGGAAACAAGACAUCAAGGCAAAGCUGUGGGUUAAGGCAGCUGAAGAGAGGGCACGAGAAAACAGCACAGAACUCAGUCAAGGCAUCUCAGCUCAGGUGAGUUCGCGGGACCCAGGGCAUCUGAGCGCAGGGAAAUAGAACAAGCCUGAGCACUGCAGGAGACAAGAUCUCAACCUCACCAUAACCAGACACGGACUGACCUUUGCUAGCCGCCACUGGGGGUUUCUCAGAGGCCGGGGUUCCGUCACUGCCCACUGCACCAGCUUGCCUCAGUUCACCUGUCUAUACUUGGGUUUCCAGAGGAUAAGAAGACACAGUCAGGACUGCUCCAUUCCAACGCAGGGCUUUCGCUCUAAAUCCCUAUCUGCUCUCUCACCCCCCUGAGCUGAGCUUCUAGAUAAGAAGGAAACUUCAGAAAACCCUUUGGGCCUCCUCCCUCCAGGCUUAAACACCAAAGCCUGGCCCAAGGGGCCCAGGUGUGCUUUCUCACUGUCCCUGGCUUCACUCUGUCCUUGGGCACUGAAAACCACAUAAGCACAUACCAUUUGAACAGAAAAGGAAAAAGGGCAAUGAAGACACAUUUGCCUUAUGCAUAAGUAUAUCAAAGCUUUCAAUACUCAGCUAGACCAAGUCUAGAAAAAACCAGGUUCAUAAACUUCACUGACUGAAUAAGGAAAUACAUAUUCAUUACUGGCAUCUGUGACCUUUGUAAAACAGUUCAUCAAACAAAUAUUAACGUUGCAGUUACUAUUAACUGAAGUCAUCACUGAGGGAAAGGAGAUGCUAUGUUAUUAAAUUAUCCCACUGGCACAUCCUCCUCCAAUUAGAAAAGGUUUUAAGGAGUUCCUGUCUUGGCUCAGGGGUAACGAAUCCAACUAUAUCCACAAGGAUGUGGAUUCUGGCCUGGCCUCGCUCAGUGGGUUAAGGAUCCAGCGUUGCCAUGAGCUGUGGGGUAGGUUGAGGACACUGCUCUGGAUGGGGCCUUGCUGGGCUGUGGCCGGCAGCUGCAGCUCCAAUUCGACCACCCUGAGAACUUCCAUAUGCUGCAGGUGCGGCCCUAAAAAGCCAGAAAAAAAAAGAAAGAAAAAGGUUUUAAAAUGUCAGAUUUUGUAUAAAAAAGCAUUUAAUUCACUUUCUAUUCUAGGCUUUGAAUGUUUCUAAGAUACUUAUAAGCUGCUUCUCUUAAUUAAGCAAGAGAAGGCUGUGUACACUUGGGCAUGGACUUUUUUUAAAACUCUUGCCAAAUGAAAGUGCUUUGUUCAGGAAUCAUGGGCAGAUAUUAGUGGAUAUUUAUAAACAACUCAGAAGCAAGCGCAGAAAUAUCACCAAUUCGGGGCUUUGUAAUUCAGGUGGACCCUGCUGUUAACACAGCACCAGUGUUGGAGGUGCCCAAAUGCUGAGAACGGCUGCUGCCUGCUUUCAGCCUUCCCACCCUUCUUAGUAACCGGGGCUCAAAGUGAGAGCAGCCUGAGGAGAAAACUGAAUUCAGGCCAGCACAUCCUGCUACUUACUAGCCACUCUGAAUCACAUGGCGAAAAAAAGAUUAGGCAUUAUUCAAGAAUUUUAAUCAUUUCUGUCAUCCUUGUUACUAAUGCCACGAGUAAUAGGAAGCUGGCAUGAAUUGGUCAAGGCGUUUUAAAGGUAAACGUAAAUCUGCUUGACACAAAGGCUUUACUCCCCAAAACCCAAACCCCCUCUUCCUCAAUCAGCCUCCACCUCCGAGCUGUUUAUUUUGAACCUAGUAGAGUCUGUCCUUCCCCAGGUGCUGGGGCACAGAGCAGACAGCAGCGCAGCCUCCUCCCCGAGGCCCCCAGAGAACAGAAGCCUUCCAGUGAGAGGAGGGGCAUGGGGGGGGGGAUCUGCUGCUUCAUCUGAGAGGGUGCCUAGAGGACCGAGGGCUCUGGCUACAAUCUCAGGGUCAGGCCCAUUCUAUUGAUACCUUGGCCAUAUCAAGCCUAUCAAUACGCAGGACCAGGUCCCUGGGUGUGCCAAGCCCCACGCUUUGGUUUAAAUGCUCAGCUGCCGUCUUGAAAUUCCUAAUAAUUUUUGAACAAAGGAGCCCCACACUUCGAUUAUGCAGCUGGUCCUAUCAAUAUUCAUCAUUAACUACGCCUGAAAUAUGCAAAAUUAAAUGUGCCUGGAGUCUGCAUUUCAGAUGGAAUGAAUUUUGCUUUUUAGAAGCCACUUAACAGACAACCUCGCACAAAUCACUCUCAAGUUUUACACUAUCUACGAUUUAAGUUUAUGACCCUUAAUUUUUUUUCUUGGUCGUCCUUAAAAAGAAGGUACUGUAGUAAGAAAGUUAUUUUUAAGAUUUAGGAAAAGCUCAGAAUAAAUAUGCCUUCACUACAUGCUAAACAGUGUAUUAAACAAAGAUGAUGUUCAUUUUUACUGUUUUAAAAUUCACUUUCAAUCUAAAGACAUAUUUCUGUGUGUUUUAUCCUGAUUGGAGGCUGGUUAGAUAACGAAUAGUUAAUUAAAUAAAUCAAAGAACCAGACAAAAUAGUUUACUUUAAGAGUUCUUUUCAGCCAAUUAACAUAACAAAAAUGUAAUGAAUGAAGAAAUGUCAUUUUGUAAACUAGUCAUAGUUUUAAAAUUCUAGAGUUUCUCACAGUCCCUUUCAUAGGGUGAAGCCUUAAAUACUGACGCUGCCUGGGCCUGGGGGCGGGGAGGGUUGCACACUGCACUGGCUCAUUCCUCAGAUCAAGGGCAGAAAUUAGGGCCUGGGGGGUGGAUGCUGGGCAGCAGAUGCUCCCAGCCUUUCUUAAAGUGGCAAAAACCGAGAGCUGCAGGGCUGGACGCCGGGAAGGAUUAGAAGGGCUGAUGAGAUCCAGUCCGAAGGAAGGUGGACUGAAAGCCCAAAAAGUGUUGGGAAGAAAAGGGUUGCGUGGUGAACGAGCAAGUGCCCAGGCUGAAGGACCAACUACCUGUCAGGGGCGUGUGAAGAAAUGUCUGUUUUACAGGGAAGCCUACUUAGGUGCAGAGGAUGGACUUUUCAAAGUUCCUUUCAAUUCAAAGUCUAAGGUCCCGGGCAGAAAUGAGAUGGGAGAUAGUGGGGAAGGAAGGAGCUAGGUCGAUGAGAUGCCGAUUUAUCCCCAGAGAAGGGGGGGAAAAUCAUCAGCUUAAAACUGUCAUAAGAACACUCUUAGACAAUUGUGAGACACAUAUCUGAUUAGAAAGAUGCUCCUGGGACUGAUUACAGAGGUCAAGAGUGAAUGGAGAACGGCACAGCCACUGUGGGAAACAGUUUGGCAGUUCCUCCAAAUGUUAAACACAGAGUCACAAGACUCAGCAAUUCCGAUUCAGUCAUACACACACACACACUCAAGAGAACUGAAAAUACAUGAACACAAACACCUGCACACGAAUGUUCACAGCGGCAUUAUUCCUAGUCGCCACAAAGUGGAAAACAACCCAAACGGCCAUCAACCGACGAAUGGAUAAACAAGACGUGGUCCAUGCACACAGCACAGACUCCUGUCUUACUCUGGGCUCUGUAAUGAAAUGCACAGACUGGGUGUCUUAUAACAGAAAUUUAUUUCUCACAAUCAUAGAGGCUGGGAAACGCAAGAUCAAGGUACCAGUGGAUUCGGUGCCUGGUGCCCACUUCCCUCACGGUCAUCUUCUCCGCGUGCCCAUUGGCAGCAGAACAGACGAGAGGGGGCCAAAACCCCCAGCCACAAGGGCUCCAGCCUCACGGCUUCAUCACUUCCCCAAAUCCCCCACCUCAAACUACCAUUGCAUUGGAGAUUAGGUUUCAACACAUGAAUUUUGAAGGACACAAACAUUCAGCCUAUAGCAGAUAUUACUCAGCCACAAGAAGAAAUGAAGCACUGCUACCCACAUGAAUGGACCUUGAAAACAUCAUGCUAAGUGAAAGAUGCUAAUCCCAAAGGCCACAUAUUAUGUGAUUCCACAGAUAGGAAAUGUCCGAAACAGGCAAGGCCAUAGAGACAGAAAGUGGAUUGGUGCUUGCCAUGGGGUGGGAGAAAAGGGGAAUUUGUGUGACUGCUAAGGGACAUAGGAUUUUGCGGGGGAGGAGUGAAGAAAAUUUGCUAAAAUCAGAUCCUGAUGACGGCUGCACAACUUUGUGAAUAUACUAAAAAUCACUGAGUUGUAAACAUUAAAAGGGUGAAUUUUAUGAUAUAUGAAUUUUACUUCAAUAAACUUGUUUUAAAAAUUAAAAAAGAGUAGGCAUUUCCUGCUGUGGCACACGUGGGUUAAGAAUCUGACUGCAGCGGCUCAAGUACUGAAGAGGCUUGGGUUUAAUCCCUGGCCCAGAGCAAGGGGUUAAAGGAUCCAACACCGCUACAGCUGCAGCAUAGGUCUCAGCUGCAGCUCAGAUUCCAUCCCUGGCCUGGGAACUCCACACGCCUCGGGUGCACCAUUUAAAAAAAAAAAAAAAAAAAAA
ensembl:lncRNA